rnacentral:rRNA from 1 species
UGGGGAAUAUUGCACAAUGGGGAACCCGUAGCAUGCAGCAACGCCGCGUGAGUGAAGAAGUAUUUCGGUAUGUAAAGCUCUAUCAGCAGGGAAGAUAAUGACGGUACCUGACUAAGAAGCUCCGGCUAAAUACGUGCCAGCAGCCGCGGUAAUACGUAUGGAGCAAGCGUUAUCCGGAUUUACUGGGUGUAAAGGGUGCGUAGGCGGCACAGCAAGUCAGAUGUGAAAGACCGGGCUCAACCCGGGCUGGCAUUGAAAUACUGCCGAGCUUGAGUCCGGGAGAGGCAGGCGGAAUUCCUAGUGUAGCGGUGAAAUGCGUAGAUAUUAGGAGGAACACCAGUGGCGAAGGCGGCCUGCUGGACCGGAACUGACGCUGAGGCACGAAAGCGUGGGGAGCAAACAGGAUUAGAUACCC